rnacentral:lncRNA from 1 species
UAAAAGGAGUGGAUGGCAGUUUUCAUAGCAAGUCAUCAUGGAGAAAAGGACAAGCUGCAGUGUGCAGACAUCUACGAACUGUGACAACUCUUUGGAAACACUGAAUUCUGCCCACCAAGCUACAGGCGCUGUGCAAAUGAGAAUCAAAAAUGCCAACAGCCACCCAGACAGGCAGAGCCAAACUAAAUCCAUGAUCCUCACCGACGCUGGGAAGGUCACUGAACCUAUUUCCCGGCACAGAAGGAAUCAUUCACAGCAUGUGCUGAAAGAUGUCAUUCCACCACUAGAACAUCCAAUGGUCGAAAAAGAAGGGUAUCUUCAAAAAGCCAAAAUUGCAGAUGGAGGAAAGAAACUAAGGAAAAACUGGUCUACUUCCUGGAUUGUUCUCUCUGGCCGAAAACUUGAAUUUUACAAAGACCCCAAGCAGCAAGCUCUCCCUAACGUGAAACCCAGGCCAAAUGCAGAAAGCGUGGAUUUGUGUGGAGCACACAUAGAAUGGGCGGCCAAAGACAAAUCAAGCAAAAAGAGUGUCUUUCAGGUAAGAACGUCA